GCCGAAGUGGCGGAACUGGCAGACGCGCACGGUUCAGAACUGUGUUCCUUUUAGGAAUGUGGGUUCGACUCCCACCUUCGGCA
rnacentral:tRNA from 1 species